GUGAGCAACCUGCCCCUGACUCUGGGAUAAGCGGUGGAAACGCCGUCUAAUACCGGAUACGACCUUCCACCUCAUGGUGGAGGGUGGAAAGUUUUUUCGGUCAGGGAUGGGCUCGCGGCCUAUCAGCUUGUUGGUGGGGUAACGGCCUACCAAGGCGAUUACGGGUAGCCGGCCUGAGAGGGCGACCGGCCACACUGGGACUGAGACACGGCCCAGACUCCUGCGGGAGGCAGCAGUGGGGAAUAUUGCGCAAUGGGCGAAAGCCUGACGCAGCGACGCCGCGUGGGGGAUGACGGCCUUCGGGUUGUAAACCUCUUUUACCACCAACGCAGGCUCCGGGUUCUCUCGGGGUUGACGGUAUGUGGGGAAUAAGGACCGGCUAACUACGUGCCAGCAGCCGCGGUAAUACGUAGGGUCCGAGCGUUGUCCGGAAUUAUUGGGCGUAAAGAGCUCGUAGGCGGCGUGUCGCGUCUGCUGUGAAAGACCGGGGCUUAACUCCGGUUCUGCAGUGGAUACGGGCAUGCUAGAGGUAGGUAGGGGAGACUGGAAUUCCUGGUGUAGCGGUGAAAUGCGCAGAUAUCAGGAGGAACACCGGUGGCGAAGGCGGGUCUCUGGGCCUUACCUGACGCUGAGGAGCGAAAGCAUGGGGAGCGAACAGGAUUAGAUACCCUGGUAGUCCAUGCCGUAAACGUUGGGCGCUAGGUGUGGGGACUUUCCACGGUUUCCGCGCCGUAGCUAACGCAUUAAGCGCCCCGCCUGGGGAGUACGGCCGCAAGGCUAAAACUCAAAGGAAUUGACGGGGGCCCGCACAAGCGGCGGAGCAUGUUGCUUAAUUCGACGCAACGCGAAGAACCUUACCAAGGUUUGACAUCACCCGUGGACCUGUAGAGAUACAGGGUCAUUUAGUUGGUGGGUGACAGGUGGUGCAUGGCUGUCGUCAGCUCGUGUCGUGAGAUGUUGGGUUAAGUCCCGCAACGAGCGCAACCCUUGUUCCAUGUUGCCAGCACGUAAUGGUGGGGACUCAUGGGAGACUGCCGGGGUCAACUCGGAGGAAGGUGGGGACGACGUCAAGUCAUCAUGCCCCUUAUGUCUUGGGCUGCAAACAUGCUACAAUGGCCGGUACAAUUG
rnacentral:rRNA from 1 species